rnacentral:tRNA from 1 species
AGCGAGGUGGGGAAGCCAGGUUAUCCCGGCGGGCUCAUAACCCGCAGAGCGGUUUCCACUUUCUGCAAAAUUGCAGGUGGCCGUAAGUUCAAAUCAACCCCUCGCUA